rnacentral:rRNA from 1 species
CAGCCGCGUAAUUCCAGCUCCAAUAGCGUAUAUUAAAGUUGUUGCAGUUAAAAAGCUCGUAGUUGAAUUUCGAGACCGGUCUACUGGUCGUGCUUUUGUACGUACUGGUUUUAUUGGUUUCUCCUUUCUGACGAACUAUAAUGCCAUUAAUUUGGUGUUAUGGGGAAUCAGGACUGUUACUUUGAAAAAAUUAGAGUGUUUAAAGCAGGCUCACGCUUGAAUACAUUAGCAUGGAAUAACGAAAUAGGACGUUUGAUUUUAUUUUGUUGGUUUCUAGGAUCGACGUAAUGAUUAAUAGGGAUAGUUGGGGGCAUUAGUAUUCAAUUGUCAGAGGUGAAAUUCUUGGAUUUAUUGAAGACUAACUACUGCGAAAGCAUUUGCCAAGGAUGUUUUCAUUAAUCAAGAACGAAAGUUAGGGGAUCGAAGACGAUCAGAUACCGUCGUAGUCUUAACCAUAAACUAUGCCGACUAGGGAUCGGAUGAUGUUAAUUUUUUAAUGACUCAUUCGGCGCCUUACG